rnacentral:tRNA from 1 species
UUUAUCGUGGAGAAGGACUUUCCCGGCUUUUCGACGGGUAAACCUUUCCACAAGAUGGGGUGCAGGUGUUCCUCCACCUCGGAAAUC